CGGGUGAGUAACGCGUGGAUAACCUACCUAUAAGACUGGGAUAACUUCGGGAAACCGGAGCUAAUACCGGAUAAUAUAUUGAACCGCAUGGUUCAAUAGUGAAAGACGGUUUUGCUGUCACUUAUAGAUGGCUCCGCGCCGCAUUAGCUAGUUGGUAAGGUAACGGCUUACCAAGGCAACGAUGCGUAGCCGACCUGAGAGGGUGAUCGGCCACACUGGAACUGAGACACGGUCCAG
rnacentral:rRNA from 1 species